UACGUAGGGGGCAAGCGUUAUCCGGAUAUACUGGGUGUAAAGGGGGCGCAGACGGCGAUGCAAGCCAGGAGUGAAAGCCCGGGGCCCAACCCCGGGACUGCUCUUGGAACUGCGUGGCUGGAGUGCAGGAGGGGCAGGCGGAACUCCUGGUGUAGCGGUGAAAUGCGUAGAUAUCAGGAGGAACACCGGUGGCGAAGGCGGCCUGCUGGACUGCAACUGACGUUGAGGCCCGAAAGCGUGGGGAGCAAACAGG
rnacentral:rRNA from 1 species